rnacentral:rRNA from 1 species
GUUAUAUGGUCAAGUGAAGAAGCGCAUACGGUGGAUGCCUUGGCAGUCAGAGGCGAUGAAAGACGUGGUAGCCUGCGAAAAGCUUCGGGGAGUCGGCAAACAGACUUUGAUCCGGAGAUGUCUGAAUGGGGGAACCCAGCCAUCAUAAGAUGGUUAUCUUAAGCUGAAUACAUAGGCUUAAGAGGCGAACCAGGGGAACUGAAACAUCUAAGUACCCUGAGGAAAAGAAAUCAACCGAGAUUCCCUUAGUAGUGGCGAGCGAACGGGGACUAGCCCUUAAGUGGCUUUGAGAUUAGCGGAACGUUCUGGAAAGUACGGCCAUAGUGGGUGAUAGCCCUGUACGCGAAAAUCUCUUAGUCAUGAAAUCGAGUAGGACGGAGCACGAGAAACUUUGUCUGAAUAUGGGGGGACCAUCCUCCAAGGCUAAAUACUACUGACUGACCGAUAGUGAACUAGUACCGUGAGGGAAAGGCGAAAAGAACCCCGGAGAGGGGAGUGAAAUAGAUCCUGAAACCGUAUGCGUACAAGCAGUGGGAGCCCACUUUGUUGGGUGACUGCGUACCUUUUGUAUAAUGGGUCAGCGACUUAUUUUCAGUGGCGAGCUUAACCGAAUAGGGGAGGCGUAGCGAAAGCGAGUCUUAAUAGGGCGUCUAGUCGCUGGGAAUAGACCCGAAACCGGGCGAUCUAUCCAUGGGCAGGUUGAAGGUUGGGUAACACUAACUGGAGGACCGAACCGACUACCGUUGAAAAGUUAGCGGAUGACCUGUGGAUCGGAGUGAAAGGCUAAUCAAGCUCGGAGAUAGCUGGUUCUCCUCGAAAGCUAUUUAGGUAGCGCCUCAUGUAUCACUGUAGGGGGUAGAGCACUGUUUCGGCUAGGGGGUCAUCCCGACUUACCAAACCGAUGCAAACUCCGAAUACCUACAAGUGCCGAGCAUGGGAGACACACGGCGGGUGCUAACGUCCGUCGUGAAAAGGGAAACAACCCAGACCGUCAGCUAAGGUCCCAAAGUUAUGGUUAAGUGGGAAACGAUGUGGGAAGGCUUAGACAGCUAGGAGGUUGGCUUAGAAGCAGCCACCCUUUAAAGAAAGCGUAAUAGCUCACUAGUCGAGUCGGCCUGCGCGGAAGAUGUAACGGGGCUCAAACCAUACACCGAAGCUACGGGUAUCACUUAGGUGAUGCGGUAGAGGAGCGUUCUGUAAGCCUGUGAAGGUGAGUUGAGAAGCUUGCUGGAGGUAUCAGAAGUGCGAAUGCUGACAUGAGUAACGACAAUGGGUGUGAAAAACACCCACGCCGAAAGACCAAGGUUUCCUGCGCAACGUUAAUCGACGCAGGGUUAGUCGGUCCCUAAGGCGAGGCUGAAAAGCGUAGUCGAUGGAAAACAGGUUAAUAUUCCUGUACUUCUGGUUAUUGCGAUGGAGGGACGGAGAAGGCUAGGCCAGCUUGGCGUUGGUUGUCCAAGUUUAAGGUGGUAGGCUGGAAUCUUAGGUAAAUCCGGGAUUC